UACGAAGGGGGCUAGCGUUGUUCGGAAUUACUGGGCGUAAAGCGCGCGCAGGCGGUUCUUCAAGUCAGAGGUGAAAGCCCAGAGCUCAACUCUGGAAUGGCCUUUGAGACUAGAGAACUAGGGUACGGGAGAGGUGAGUGGAAUUCCGAGUGUAGAGGUGAAAUGCGUAGAUAUGUGGAGGAACACCGAUGGCGAAGGCAGCCCCCUGGGUUAACACUGACGCUCAUGCACGAAAGCGUGGGGAGCAAACAGG
rnacentral:rRNA from 1 species